rfam:Ipomoea nil DNA, scaffold: scaffold0900, cultivar: Tokyo-kokei standard.
GAUCACGAUGAAGACUCCAUAAUAUUCAAGCUCAACAGACCGGAAUGCAGGCUCCUCCUUCAACUGGAGGAGCAUGCGUGUCGAUUACCCCGCUGAACUGAGUGAUC